GGAGGGAAGACUUUUAGAAUUCGGGUGGUUGUGGGGUAAGACCUACACAGCCAAUGCCUUUUAGUUUUGUGGGAGAGAUUAUCACCCCCCUUGGAAUGGAACCCGGUCCCAGUCUUCUGGGGGAAGCCAGCAGUGGGGAAUUUUGCCACAGGGGAGAAAUUUUGGAUCAACCACCCCGGGGGGGAGAAGAACCAUUCGGGGUGUAAACUCCUUUUUAUAUAGGAAGAUAAAGGCGGUUAUUAUAUGAAUAAGCCCCGGUUAAUUCCGUGCCAGCAGCCGCGGUAAUACGGAGGGUGCAAGCGUUAUUCGGAAUCACUGGGCGUAAAGCGCAUGCAGGCGGGUUAAUAAGUUGGAAGUGAAAUCCUAUGGCUCAACCAUAGAACUGCUUCCAAAACUGUUAGUCUAGAGUCUGGGAGGGGAAGAUGGAAUUAGUUGUGUAGGGGUAAAAUCCGUAGAGAUAACUAGGAAUACCAAAAGCGAAGGCGAUCUUCUGGAACAGUACUGACGCUGAGAUGCGAAAGCGUGGGGAGCAAACAGGAUUAGAUACCCUGGUAGUCCACGCAGUAAACGAUGAAUGUUAGUCGUCGGGUUGCAAGUCAAUUCGGUGAUGCAGUUAACACAUUAAACAUUCCGCCUGGGGAGUACGGUCGCAAGAUUAAAACUCAAAGGAAUAGACGGGGACCCGCACAAGUGGUGGAGCAUGUGGUUUAAUUCGAAGAUACGCGAAGAACCUUACCUAGCCUUGACAUUGAUAGAAUCUUCCAGAGAUGGAGGAGUGCCUUUCGGGGAGCUUGAAAACAGGUGCUGCACGGCUGUCGUCAGCUCGUGUCGUGAGAUGUUGGGUUAAGUCCCGCAACGAGCGCAACCCUCGUCACUAGUUACUAACAGUUAGGCUGAGGACUCUAGUGAGACUGCCUUCGUAAGGAGGAGGAAGGUGAGGACGACGUCAAGUCAUCAUGGCCCUUACGGCUAGGGCGACACACGUGCUACAAUGGUUAGGACAAUGAGAGGCGAUACCGCGAGGUGGAGCAAAUCUAUAAACCUAAUCUCAGUUCGGAUUGUAGUCUGCAACUCGACUACAUGAAGCUGGAAUCACUAGUAAUCGUAGAUCAGCCAUGCUACGGUGAAUACGUUCCCGGGUCUUGUACUCACCGCCCGUCACACCAUGGGAGUUGAUUUCACCCGAAGCGGGGAAGCUAAACUGGCUACCCUCCACGGUGGAAUUAGCGACUGGGGUGAAGUCGUAACAAGGUACC
rnacentral:rRNA from 1 species